UUGUUACCCAUGAUGUCUGUGUUUUCAGGUUCCCUCUCCCAGCCUGUGCUGACUCAGCCAUCUUCCCAUUCCGCAUCUCCUGGAGCGUCAGCCAGACUCACCUGCACGCUGAGCAGUGGCUUCAGUGUUGGUGACUUCUGGAUACGGUGGUACCAACAAAAGCCAGGGAGCCCUCCCCGGUAUCUCCUGUACUACCACUCAGACUCAGAUAAGGGCCAAGGCUCUGGAGUUCCCAGCCGCUUCUCUGGAUCCAACGAUGCAUCAGCCAAUGCAGGGAUUCUGCAUAUCUCUGGGCUCCAGCCUGAGGAUGAGGCUGACUAUUACUGUUGUACAUGGCAUGGCAACUCUAAGACUCACACAGUGCUCCAGACCCAUGAGGAAGUCAGACAAAAACCUCCCCUCUACUCUCCUGGCCUGGUGAAGUCACCCCUGCUGGUGACUCUGACCAAAUCUAACUCAGGGGGUGACAUCUGUUGUCACACCAACAGCACUGGAGCUGCCACUGACAAGCAGGUCUAA